UCUGACAUAACCCGUCGAAAGCGGGCUAACAUCAGAUGAUAUAUAAUCACGACAUCGUGGAAAUAUCAAUCUUCGGAGCCUUGGGAUGAGCCUGCGUCUGAUUAGGUAGUUGGCGGAGUAAUAGCCCACCAAGCCUACGAUCAGUAGCUGGUCUGAGAGGAUGAUCAGCCACACUGGAACUGAGACACGGUCCAGACUCCUACGGGAGGCAGCAGUAGGAAUAUUGCUCAAUGGGGGAAACCCUGAAGCAGCAACGCCGCGUGAAGGAUGAAAUACUUUUGUAUGUGAACUUCUGUAAGAUGGGAAAAAUAUUCUCCUCGGGAGAAUUGAUUGUACCAUCAGAGUAAGCCCCGGCUAACUACGUG
rnacentral:rRNA from 1 species